rnacentral:lncRNA from 1 species
UCUUUUAGAAUCGCGUCAUUUGCAUAUUAUCGAACUAAAAAAAAAGUAUGCAUCAUCAUCUCAAACCAACUAGACACAAAUAUGUAUUCACAGUUAUAUAUUUAUAGUUGUAUCUUAGAACAAUUAUAUAGGGAGCUCUGACUAUGUGUUAUGGGCUUAAGUCACUUUAGAAUGCCGCAAGGUGACCUACAAUUGUUAAUUUCUGAGUCAUUUGGUCACUCGUGAAGAGUAAGCAUUAAACUAGAUCUUUGUUUAAAAUUAAGUAGGUCUGUUUUUUUUUUCUUUACAAGUCGUUUAAGUAAACACAUGGCAAAUAUAACAAACACGCAGAGGUUUGAAAAUUUCUGUUUUGAUUAAAUUGUUUGCAAUUUGAAUUAUCAAUUAAAAGAUAUUAAAUUUAGUUUCUAAUACAGCAUUCAAUUUUAUAGGUGGUGGUCAUAGGUUUAUAUACAGCAAAUCAACAAAAUAUGUAUCUAAAUUACCAAUUAAACAUUUAUCACAACAAUUAAAAAUAAAAUAUAAAGCAGCAUACACGAUAUGUGUUCUGUUUGAUUUUGAGCUUUAAAAAAAAAAAAGUAUGGAUAAAUAAUAUUUUACUGUGAUUGGCAAAAUGCAAAUUAAAAUAUGUAUAAAUGAAAACCAACGUUGAUUUUAACAAAAAAAAAAAAAUAAUCAUCAAUUAUAAUCACGGCAAUCAAUCAAAUUAGUUGUUCAUGUUUAUCUUAUUGAAAUCACUAAAUAUCACAAAAUACUCUUCCUUUAGUCCAAUCACAAUUUGUUUGUCAAAUCAACCAUCACACAUCAUUUAUCAAGCGGAUAAUCACUGCUCUUAAUUCUUAAAUCGAAAUUCCAGAUCAGUUGAUAGCAAAUCAAUUGAC